GUUGUCAGUUUGUCUUUUAAGGUUUGUGAGAGGUACGUGUCUACGUAUUCGUGUCGUCAGUGGACAGUGACAUAUGUUGAAGACCACGGGAGUUAGGAAGCUAGCAGUGGGUGUAAGUGACGAGGCGUUGAGCAGCUCGAACGAGACCCUCCCUCACACGCACUACAGGGCUGAUGAUUCUCAACACCCUCAACACUGAUAACGUGGACAGCACCUUUAAAACUGCUACAUUUAGCCACCUCGGACUGGAAGGUAAUGUGAUUAUAUAAGUGAAGCAACCUAUCCUCACCUUCACUGUGUUUUGUGUUCUCUCUCAAUCUUAGCUUUUGUGACCUGCUGACAAUCUGCUCACAAAAAAAAAUUGGAAAUACAUAGAUUCUCAAUAAACUGCAGGACUUUAGAUUGAGGUAAAAAAGCUAAACACAAUGCAAAGAAACGACUUUCUCAAUCUUAAAAGUUCUGAUCUACUGAGCCUCCUCAUAGAAAAAAAAAUUAUGACAAAUUGAUUCCCAGCUAACCCGGUGACUUCAGACUGAGGGGAGAAGGUAAGCACAGAAUGAGGGAGGGGGAAGGAAUCCAGCAUGUUGUUUGAUAUUGACCAUGGCUGUACAUGUUACCCUGCCUCCCACGUGCUGCUCUCACCACAAGCACCGCCCCAGCCUGGAUGCGUUACAUUAAGGUGAAUUAAGGUCGGGGAGGUGGCGAAAAUGAGACAGGCAUUACCGGGACUCAAACAUGGCUCUCUCCAUCACUUCACCGUCAUACUGGUCACUCAAGCUUCAUCUCUGUGGAUCGGUUAUGCUCUCUCUCUCUCUCUCUCUCUCUCUCUCUCUCUCUCUCUCUCUCUCUCUCUCUCUCUCUCUCUCUCUCUCUCUCUCUCU